CAGGCAUUAUGGGAAGGAAUAAUUAGGACUUGAGUCAGUCUUCAUACAAUAGUAGCUUCAAGAAAGGUACAUGGUCUGAUGUUUUCUCUGAAGGCCAAACUGUGGCAUCUCAAAGACAGACUCACACAACUUUUAGACAUCUUUCUGUCCCCAGGUGCUUUGAGGAGGAGGCUGAAUUGUAAAUGAUUUGAUUUUGGUUUGUCUCUUCUUGUCUCUGCACUUUCUGUUCAGUUUUGGGGACUGCAAUGUACUCCAGCUCAGUCAUUCUUCCUUUCUGCUGCUUAGGAAAGUCCACCUGUAAUUCUGGUAUUUAUGUAACCUGCUGGUAAAUUAUCACCUGUCCUCACAUCUGACAGUAAUAGGAGCUGUUCAGCACAACACUUUGGGAAUAAGCAAAAUUUUACUCCAUAAUCUUAUGUAUAUAAUUUUGAAUUUAUGCAAAAUGUAAUAAUCAAUGAAUAUAUCAGAAUAUACUUGAAAAUUUCAGGGCCAGGUUCAUUCUCUGCUCUGCUAAUGGAAUCCAUUCAUUGGAUAUUGCAGGUACUCUUCAGGCUACGAGUACUGUGCUUCAGCCAAAACAGAGACAAAGCGACUCAGGCCUGGACUAGACAUGAAUCAGAGCGAUCAGAAGACCCAGUAUUUCACUCCAGAAGUUCUGUAAGUAUGUUCUACACUGGGCACUUGAAAAUGUUCUGUGAGUAGCAUUAAUAGCCAAGUGUAUAAAGAUUCAUGUGCUUGUUGACAACUUAUAAGGGCAUUUUUUGUUCUGCAAAAAUAAAUAACUAAAGAAAAUUCCCA
rnacentral:lncRNA from 1 species